GGAGGGUAUGGCGUUCUGGUGGCGCUCGCGGGCUUCAAACCCGAAUGGUGGGGCGGUUGACCGUCUCGCGGGGAGUUCGAUUCUCUCACCCUCUC
rnacentral:tRNA from 1 species